GACAGAGGUGCCGAGCGUUAGGCGGAAUCACUGGGCUUAAAGCGUGUGUAGGCGGGCGAUCAAGUACCUUGUGAAAUCCCACGGCUCAACCGUGGAACCGCUGGGUAUACUGGUUGUCUUGAGCCGGCUAGGGGCGAGCGGAACAGACGGUGGAGCGGUGAAAUGCGUAGAUAUCGUCUGGAACGCCGAAGGUGAAAACAGCUCGCUGGGGCUGCGCUGACGCUGAGACACGAAAGCCAGGGGAGCGAACGGG
rnacentral:rRNA from 1 species